UUCUGGACCAGGCUCUUCUGGAUUACUCCAGCAUGGUAUGUUGAAUCCCAGAAUUACAACAAAAUGUUGGCAAUAUGUGUGGAUUUUGUCAAUACACAUCUGUUUAUACCUUUCCAGAACCCCAACACCAGCAGUCCAGCUAUGCCAAAUGUCCUUGAUGCCAUUGGAGAUGUCAAACUCAACAACUUCAUGAAUGCACAGCUGAACAACGCCAGCUUCGUUGACAAGUUGUUCCAGAAGAUGCUCCGUCCAUUCUUGGCAUCUCCAUCUAGGAAUUUCCUCUCCUGUCUCAGCUCAAAGAACUUCAGUUGUCAGACCUACCAAAUUGUGUAUGUAAAGCCAUGAUACCCAAUGCCAUUGUCAAUACAACUGGUGAUAUGCCUACAAUUGAAUAAGAAGUCAAGAUAACAUAGGUAACAUGGGCUCUGUUCUCUUUCAGCAUUGAGACUCUAAGCAACCAAUCAGCCUCCAUGGACAGAGAGCAACAACGAGUGAUCUUCACUCAUUACAUCUAUCCAUUCCUUUCAAGAAAUGACUCAUCAGAUCCCGGCUGUGUCUCAAACACCAGUGGAAGCAUGGACUGGCUCCAGAGGAACUUUGGCAUCUUUUCUGUUUUUGCAGAACUGCAGGAGUUACAAGUCCUUAAUCCCGACUUCUCCAGCGUAAGUGGCCUAGGUGUUUGUCUGGAUGGUUAUCCCCUCAAUAACAUUACCGCGCCACUCACUGACAUGUGCCACCUUUCUUUUGCUUUUUCUAUUUGUAGAAGGAAUCACUGUCGCUGCUUACCCCAACCCAAGUGGCACAAUUGACAUUGACCUCUGGGGCAUUGAAUGACACAGAUGACAUUAAACUUGUGUUUACGCGGCUGGAGGAAGGUGACGCUUUCAAAAAUGUUGACGAGUUUCUGACGCAACUGACCGCAAAGGAAGAGAUUCCUGACAUCCAUCCAGCCGUGAGAGAUGUGAUGAUGAAUCAGACGUUCAACAUCAUCAGCCUUCAAUUCCCAGAGUUCGAAACGCUGGACUGGAUUGCAUGGUUCGAAGUAAAGCUGAUUCCCAUCCUCCCCAGUUUGAAUGAAGUCAUGCUCACCAUUGCUACCUCAAACGUCAACUGCACCAACUACCAAGUCAUUGUAAAUGGAAUGGACAGAGCUUUCCCUGAAAUGACUCAGGAUAGAAGAGAAGGAAUCGCAAGAGUCCUGCUGAAAUACCUGAGGAAAUCUGUGCACCUCAUCAAUGGACCAGCUUGCAGGCAGGACAUCCACGAUGACAAUGACUGGCUUGCAAUCAACCUGGGUUCAUACUCCGAGUACACAACCUAUUCGGAUCUCAAAGACUUCAACAUCUCAGGGGUGGCAGUUCUAGACUCCCUCUCACCAAACCAGAAAGCUGAAUUGAUACUGGACCCAAGCACUGGCGCUCUGGAGAAUGAGACUCUUGUGAAGAACGUUUUCAUCAGCUUGCUGGAAUCUCCAAGGGAAGAGCAGCUCAAUGAGUUCUUUGUGACUUUUGUUGAAGUCACCAAGCAGGAAAACAUCACUAUCAUCACAAACACAGCCGUAAGAGACACAAUGCUAGACCUGACCUUGAUGGCUCUUGCUCCCAAAUUCGACGUUUUUGAGCCAAAAGACUUCCAGCUGUGGUUCCAAGUCAAUCUGGUUGUUCUGCUGGCCAGCUUCCAUCCUGGCAGAUUGGUUGAUAUCCCCCUAAACAUCACCUGUGAAUCCUACAAUGCCAUGUAAGAGACUACUUUACCCCAAACAAACGUACAAGGGACUGCCUCGUAAAGUACAGAUUGACAAAAGACUGUACUAAUGUCUCUUUCCUUUUUCUCUCAGAUUUACGGGUCUCGACCAAAGUUUGGAAUCUCUUCCGCCUCACCUCUCACAGGGUGUAAAGGCAAGCUUGGAUGCACUGAUGAAGACAUUCCAACGUAUGUUAUAAACUGCUAUUUUUCAACAACAGACACUGUAUCAUCUGAGCACAGCAUUUAUAGAACAUUUAAAACAUCUCCAAAAAGGCAUUGUGUUAUUUUGCUAACUCAUAUGCUCCCAAAUCUUCCCGUUGAUUGACUGACCUUAUUUAAAUUAUCCCCCUCAAAGGUUGCUCAAGGCCUCCAGCUUUAAUUGUGGUAAGUACUCUCUGAGUGGGAUCUUAUUUCAAAUAGACCUUUUGUUUACGAUAUGGGAAAGGUCAUGCAUCUGGUAUCUGCAUUGUGGCAUUGUUCAGAAAGCCAAAGCAUCUCUUUUGUUUUCUCAUUUAAUUUCACACUGGUAACAAUAUUAUUUCCCCCCCCC
rnacentral:lncRNA from 13 species